CCUACGGGGAGCAGCAGUAGGGAAUUUUCCACAAUGGGCGCAAGCCUGAUGGAGCAACACCGCGUGAGUGAAGAAGGGUUUCGGCUCGUAAAGCUCUGUUGUUGGAGAAGAACGUGCGUGAGAGUAACUGUUCACGCAGUGACGGUAUCCAACCAGAAAGUCACGGCUAACUACGUGCCAGCAGCCGCGGUAAUACGUAGGUGGCAAGCGUUAUCCGGAUUUAUUGGGCGUAAAGCGAGUGCAGGCGGUUGCUUAGGUCGGAUGUGAAAGCCUUCGGCUUAACCGAAGAAGUGCAUCGGAAACCGGGCAACUUGAGUGCAGAAGAGGACAGUGGAACUCCAUGUGUAGCGGUGGAAUGCGUAGAUAUAUGGAAGAACACCAGUGGCGAAGGCGGCUGUCUGGUCUGCAACUGACGCUGAGGCUCGAAAGCAUGGGUAGCGAACAGGAUUAGAUACCCCGGUAGUC
rnacentral:rRNA from 1 species